rnacentral:rRNA from 1 species
AUUGAACGCUGGCGGCAUGCCUUACACAUGCAAGUCGAACGGCAGCGGGCCUUCGGGUGCCGGCGAGUGGCGAACGGGUGAGUAAUGCAUCGGAACGUGCCAUUGAGUGGGGGAUAACGUAGCGAAAGUUACGCUAAUACCGCAUAUUCUGUGAGCAGGAAAGCAGGGGAUCGCAAGACCUUGCGCUGAUUGAGCGGCCGAUAUCAGAUUAGCUAGUUGGUGAGGUAAAGGCUCACCAAGGCGACGAUCUGUAGCGGGUCUGAGAGGAUGAUCCGCCACACUGGAACUGAGACACGGUCCAGACUCCUACGGGAGGCAGCAGUGGGGAAUUUUGGACAAUGGGCGCAAGCCUGAUCCAGCCAUGCCGCGUGAGUGAAGAAGGCCUCGGUUGUAAG